AACGAACGCUGGCGGCAGGCUUAACACAUGCAAGUCGAGCGCCCCGCAAGGGGAGCGGCAGACGGGUGAGUAACGCGUGGGAACGUACCCUUUGCUACGGAAUAGCUCCGGGAAACUGGAAUUAAUACCGUAUGUGCCCUACGGGGGAAAGAUUUAUCGGCAAAGGAUCGGCCCGCGUUGGACUAGCUAGUUGGUGGGGUAAUGGCCUACCAAGGCGACGAUCCAUAGCUGGUCUGAGAGGAUGAUCAGCCACAUUGGGACUGAGACACGGCCCAAACUCCUACGGGAGGCAGCAGUGGGGAAUAUUGGACAAUGGGCGCAAGCCUGAUCCAGCCAUGCCGCGUGAGUGAUGAAGGCCUUAGGGUUGUAAAGCUCUUUCAGUGGGGACGAUAAUGACGGUACCCACAGAAGAAGCCCCGGCUAACUUCGUGCCAGCAGCCGCAGUAAUAC
rnacentral:rRNA from 1 species